rnacentral:lncRNA from 1 species
CUCUGUAUGCAGAAUAUUGUGCAACAUGGUUAUGGGUACUACAGUGGAUGUGAGUGUGUAGACCUUGUACAAUAGAGCUUAUAGGCUAAUGAGAAGACAGGAAGAAACAACAGGAACACAUAUAGCUGGAAUGCAGAUGGGAUCUGUGCUACUUACGCUAGCCAUGGGAUGAUUAGAACAAGAUAAGAGACAUGAGGAAGACUUCUUCAAGGAGGUGCUCAAGCCAUGUUUUGGAAAAGAGAACUCAAGGUCUGGCAGGGAGAAAGGAGCAAGGUCCUCUUCUCCCUGAAGGCUGUCACAGUUCCUGUGCAGAGAGAGAGGGCACUGCAGCACCCAGGCGCUGACUGCCUUUUGUCAGUCUCAUUUGCAGGCCCCCAGCUGGAGAACCCAGGAGGAAGAGGAAAAAAGUUUUUUCCUCCUCUACACUCCCCAUGCAUGACUAAAGAGUAGGAGGAGUCAGCAAGACAUAUAUAGUACCCAGGAGGUGGACAAACAACUGCCUUGGUGGAAACUCUGUCCUUUCUGGACUUAUCCUGGUGCCACUGAGACUGUGCAGGUCCCACACUUACAGGGAAAGCAUCACCCGAAAGUGAGAAUGCCUAGAGGCAGGAAUCAUGGAGGCUUCCUUAACCGUCUGUCUGCAACAGCAGGUGCUAGAGAUGACACUGCAGAGUAGAGAACAAAGGAAUCUUAGUAAUUGUUCAAUCCAAUCUCCACACUUUAAAGAUGAAGAAACUGGUAUUGAGAAAAAUACACAGCUUAUCCAAGGUUGCACUGCUGGUUGGUAGCUGAGAUGAAUUUAGAACCCACAUCUGAUGACUACACCAUAUUGCUCCCAGUUUUCCUGUCUGUUCCACAUGUAAAAGUCUGACUCUUCACUUCUCCUUUGAGUAUAUAGACUUUUAACAUUUUUGUAUGUCAAGAUGGACUUUUCCUCAUACCCAGCCCCUGCCUUUUCUCCUCCCUUCAUACCUUGCAGGAUCUUUAACAGAAUUUAAAAGGAGUUUUUUGUUUUGUUUUGAUGUAUCUAAUAAAAGUCAAGGGAGGGAGAGGGCCAGUAUAAGCAAGAGUACAGUUUCCUAGUUUGUAGAUGCGGUAGUCUGAGGAAUCAGAAACACACAAAGGUUUGGAGAACUGGUACAUGCUCCCAGGUGGGAAGCCAGGACUCUUGGUAGGAUCUUGAGGACAAGGCAAAGGACAAUAAGAGAGCGAGGGGAUCCUAGAGGUGGAAUCAAGGAAGAGAAACUAGAGAGAGAAAAAGGAACUGGCUAUCCAUCCAUGAUGGAUCCUGUGUGGACUGAUGGGUGGCUUGGCAUCAUCCUUUAGUAGACUUCAUGUGGUUGAAUAAUUGGCCAAUGGAAGGAAUUUCUUUUUUGGUAACAGACUCUGUGUGUACAGUUAUGGGUCUUAAUUUAUAAUAAAAGGUUACAUUGAAAA